rnacentral:rRNA from 1 species
CGCCUGGGGAGUACGGGUGAGGUAAUGGCUCACCAAGGCAUCGACGGGUAGCUGGUCUGAGAGGACGAUCAGCCACACUGGGACUGAGACACGGCCCAGACUCCUACGGGAGGCAGCAGUAGGGAAUCUUGCGCAAUGGGGGAAACCCUGACGCAGCAACGCCGCGUGUGGGAUGACGGCUUUCGGGUUGUAAACCACUUUCAGUGAUGACGAAAAUGACGGUAAUCACAGAAGAAGGUCCGGCCAACUACGUGCCAGCAGCCGCGGUAACACGUAGGGACCGAGCGUUGUCCGGAUUUAUUGGGCGUAAAGAGCUCGUAGGCGGUUCUGUAAGUCGGGUGUGAAAACUCUGGGCUCAACCCAGAGACGCCACUCGAUACUGCUGUGACUAGAGUGCGGUAGGGGAGCGGGGAAUUCCUAGUGUAGCGGUGAAAUGCGCAGAUAUUAGGAGGAACACCAGUGGCGAAGGCGCCGCUCUGGGCCGUAACUGACGCCGAGGAGCGAAAGCGUGGGUAGCAAACAGGAUUAGAUACCCUGGUAGUCCACGCCGUAAACGGUGGGCGCUAGGUGUGGGCCACAUUCCACGUGGUCCGUGACGAAGUUAACACAUUAAGCACCCCGCCUGGGGAGUACGG